ensembl:snoRNA SNORD21 Small nucleolar RNA SNORD21
GUUAAUGUUGAUACCCACUACCUGAGCAGUCUAGUAGUUGGUCCUUUGAUUGCAUAUGAUGCAAUAAUUGUUUCAAGAUAGGACUGACAGCAGC